rnacentral:SRP_RNA from 1 species
UCUGGGCGCAGUGGCACGUGCCUGUCAUCUCAGCUACUCGGGAGGCUGAGGCUGGAAAAUCGCUUGAGUCCAGUUUUGAGCUGUAGUGUGCUAUGCCGAUCAGGUGUCCACACUAAGUUCGGCAUCAAUACGGUUACCUCUCGGGAGCGGGGGACCACCAGUUUGCCUAAGGAGGGGUGAAUCGGCCCAGGUCAGAAACGGAUCAGGUCAAAACUCCCGUGCUGAUCAGUAGUGGGAUCACACCUGUGAAUAGCCACUGCACUCCAGCCUGGGCAACAUAGCAAGACCCCAUCUCU